UGGAUAACCUGCCCUUGGGACCGGCAUAACCCCGGGAAACUGGGGAUAAUUCCGGAUACCGCAUAUAUGCUGGAAUGCUUUAUGCGUGAAAUGGAUUCGUCUGCCCAAGGAUGGGUCUGCGGCCUAUCAGGUAGUAGUGGGUGUAAUGUACCUACUAGCCUACAACGGGUACGGGUUGUGAGAGCAAGAGCCCGGAGAUGGAUUCUGAGACAUGAAUCCAGGCCCUACGGGGCGCAGCAGGCGCGAAAACUUUACAAUGCGGGAAACCGUGAUAAGGGGACACCGAGUGCCAGCAUCAUAUGCUGGCUGUCCAGGUGUGUAAAAUACACCUGUUAGCAAGGGCCGGGCAAGACCGGUGCCAGCCGCCGCGGUAACACCGGCGGCCCGAGUGGUGAUCGUGAUUAUUGGGUCUAAAGGGUCCGUAGCCGGUUUGGUCAGUCCUCCGGGAAAUCUGACAGCUCAACUGUUAGGCUUUCGGGGGAUACUGCCAGACUUGGAACCGGGAGAGGUAAGAGGUACUACAGGGGUAGGAGUGAAAUCUUGUAAUCCCUGUGGGACCACCUGUGGCGAAGGCGUCUUACCAGAACGGGUUCGACGGUGAGGGACGAAAGCUGGGGGCACGAACCGGAUUAGAUACCCGGGUAGUCCCAGCCGUAAACGAUGCUCGCUAGGUGUCAGGCAUGGCGCGACCGUGUCUGGUGCCGCAGGGAAGCCGUGAAGCGAGCCACCUGGGAAGUACGGCCGCAAGGCUGAAACUUAAAGG
rnacentral:rRNA from 1 species